AUGGCGUUCUUCAACGGCGGGUCGCGGGCGCUCGUCGAAAUCCUGACGAGGUUCCAGAGCUCUGAGAGGCCAAUGCCGGUGGACCACACCUUCUUCGAGUUGGGAUCAGUGCGAUACCAUGUACAGGCCUCGGCGUCGGACCCCGAGAACGUGUACCUGUCGAUAUCGACGCCGUCCCUCUCCCACGAGGCGUCGACGUCGACCUGCCUGCCGGAGUUCACGCUGCAGGAGGUGAGGAAGAUGUACCACAAGUUCGCGGAGAUCGUGGAGCCGGCCAGAGAGGGGUACGCACUGACGCUGAAGCUCAACUUCUCCGGCCUCACCAGGCCGAAGGAUCGCGCCAGGGCUGUCCGGCAGGUGUCGCUGCUGCAGUCCAUCGUCCUCGGGUCGCAGCUGAAGCACCUGCUGGGGAGCCUCGGCUCCUCCGGUGCCACCAAGCUCGUGUACAACCACCGCGACCCCUUCUUCGUCAGCAGAACGCCGGGGAAGAUCAACGCCAUUUUCCCCAUGCGUUUCCGGGACGACACGGACGUAGCCGUCGCCACCUCCUUCUUCCAGGAGCUGCAGGACGCAGGGAGCUCGUACGCGAAGGCGCCCAAGUGCAGCUGGUCGGCCAUCCCACCACCGGAGCUGCGGGGGGAGUCCGUGCAGCACCUCACCACCAACGGCGGCUUCGUCUCCUUCGACAUCUUCGAGCGGCACGUGAAGCGGAAGAGGGCCGCCAAAACGGCGUGGAUCCUGCUCAACUUCCAGGCCUACGUCAAGUACCACAUCAAGUGCACCCGAAACUACAUUCAGAGCAGGAUGAGAAAGCGGCAGGAGAGCUUGGCAGAGGUAAUCCAAAAUGCGAGGCUAAGGGGUGGCCAGGAUAAGAAGAAACUACAAGUGAGGAAGAAGAGCAAGAGAAGGCUGUUCAGCCUUGGCAAGGCCAAGAAACUGCAGAAGGGUUUUAGGUCCGUCAUUGACGGGCUCCGACGGCUCCGGCUGAGGAUCAGAGUGAAGGCUCUGGACCGGUUCAGGCGGUGCUUUGUCAUGCCCAAGCUCGCUACGAAGAAGCAUGAUUACCUCAGACUAGGAGCAUGA
rnacentral:rRNA from 1 species